GACGAACGCUGGCGGCGUGCUUAACACAUGCAAGUCGAACGGAAAGGCUCCAGCUUGCUGGCGUACUCGAGUGGCGAACGGGUGAGUAACACGUGGGUAAUCUGCCCUGCACUCUGGGAUAAGCCUGGGAAACUGGGUCUAAUACUGGAUAUGACCUUUCUCCUUAUGGGGUUUGGUGGAAAGUUUUUCGGUGUAGGAUGAGCCCGCGGCCUAUCAGCUUGUUGGUGGGGUGAUGGCCUACCAAGGCGACGACGGGUAGCCGGCCUGAGAGGGUGAUCGGACAAAUGGGGAGGGAGAUGGCGCACAGACCCCGGGGGGAGGAAGGAGGGGGAAAUUUGGAAAAAGGGGCGGAGGCUGGAGGCAGCGACCCCGGGGGGGGGAGGAGGGCUUUGGGGUGGAAACCCUCUUCCGGCGGGAAAGAAGGGAAAGGGACGGUCCCUGAAAAAAAAGCCCCGCCAAAUUAUGUC
rnacentral:rRNA from 1 species